rnacentral:misc_RNA from 1 species
UACGGGGGCAGCAGUGGGGAAUUUGGACAAUGGGGAAACCCCGAUCCAGCCAUCCUGGCGUGUGCGAUGAAGGCCUUCGGGUUGUGGUAAAGCACUUUGGCAGGAAGAAACGGCACGGAUAAUACCCUGCGCAACUGACGGUACCUGCAGAAUAAGCACCGGCUAACUACGUGCCAGCAGCCGCGGUAAUACGUAGGGUGCAAGCGUUAAUCGGAAUUACUGGGCGUAAAGCGUGCGCAGGCGGUUCGGAAAGAAAAGAUGUGAAAUCCCAGAGCUUAACUUUGGAACUGCAUUUUUGGGUUCAAUGAGCUAGAGUGUGUCAGGGAGGGAGGUGGAAUUCGCGUAGCAGUGGGAAUGCGUAGAUAUGCGGAGGAACACCGAUGGCGAAGGCAGCCUCCUGGGAUAACACUGACGCUCAUGCGCGAAAGCGUGGGGAGCAAACAGGAUUAGAUACUCCGUAGU